UUAAAUCCUCUAUUUAGGGACUGGAGGAGUCUCGAUGGUAUGAAUCAGAAUUUCAGCAGGCAAGUAGAGUCAUUACUUCUCUGUCUCUCAGUUGAGACAGCGGACCAAAGCAGACCAACAUGAACAGAGGGAAUAUCUAAUUUACGUUCUGCACAACGAUCUCAAGACAAGAGAUUUCCAUCCAGUGCGUGGACAAUGCUGACGGGUUCUGUGGUGUGAUCGUCUAUGGCGAUCAAACAUUUCCAGUUCCAUCUCCACGAGGUGCCAUAGGCUGGACUGUUUUUGGUGAUGGACAAGGCCCUUACAGUAGCUCUGUGCGACCUUUCCAGCCUGUCUCCUCUGACGAUGGAGACGUGGAGGACACGGAUUUGGAUCCUCCACAGACUGACAGUUAUUCACUAGCCAGUUCUGUGCCACCUUUCCAACCUGCUCACUCUGACGAUGGAGACGUAGAGGACACGGACUGGGAUCCUCUGCAUACAGCUAAUAAUUCACCAGCCAGUCUAAAGGAGGGUGAAAGGGCUGACUGAAGAAGAAGAGAAGAAGAGGACCAAUGGCUUAGUACUGCAUGUAGUAAUGUAGCGACAGCAUUGUCUGUAGAUCUAUUGGGUUGGGUGCAUAUUGCUGCUGAUCCAUCAUGUGGCAGUGAAAAUGUUAUUUAGCACUUUAGUUAGUUGGUAAGCACAGUGUUUCAGCACCCUACCAUUUCAUUAGGACCUGUGGCUUUCCAUGCAUUUUUCCUGUUUUCAAAGCUUUAUGAUAAUUCAGUUAUGUAUGUAUUGUUAUUGUCUACAUUUUUUUUUCUCAGGACAUCAGUGGAAUGUUCUAAACUAAGCACAAAAAGUAAUGAAAUUUGUGUUUGGUAGAUUAUUUCUUUGUUGAAACAAUGCUUGUUGGAAAUAAAUCUUGGAAAGGUUGUUUAUAUCCCUUUUAAAUGGUGCCACAUUUGUAAGGAACAUGCAUUUGUUGGAUGAGCAGCAGAGCUGAGUGUGUGGCUUGCACCCAUGUAAAAUUUGCCAAAUCAGCUCUGCCAAUGCCAAACAGCUUUUUUUUUUUUUUUUUUUUUUUUUUGCUGUUGACUGUUUGGUGUUGUUUGGUGGAUUGGAUGAUUGAAAUCUGAAGAAACAAGACAUACUGGCAAUUUAACAAUUUAUUAAUUUAACUCAGUAGCGUGUGGAAGAACCAUACACAGCCACAACAGCCUAACACCUCCUCCUCAUGUUGGUCACCAGCCUGGUCACACACUGCUGUGUGAUGGCAUCCCAUUCUUCAACCAGCAUUUGUCGCAAGCCAGCCAACAUGGUUGUGUUGGUCUCUGAUAAAUUCCGCUCUGUGGGGGCGAGCGUUGUCAUCUUGGAGGAUAGAGUUCGGUCCCAGACUGUGGAGAUAUGGGAUUGCCACUGGUUGCAGAAUUUUAUCCUGAUAUCUCUCUGCAUUGAGAUUGCCUCCAAUGAUGACAAACCUUGUUUUGCCAGUGAGGAGAUGUCGCCCCACACCAUCACACUGCCUCCGCCAAAAGAUGUUACUCUGUCGGUGCAGCAAUCAGCAAAGCGUUCUCCGCGUCUUCUCCACACUUUGACCCUACGAUCCAACUGCUGUGGGCAGAAUCUGGACUCAUCGCUGAGCAUAACAUUCCUCCACAUGUUCAGGUUCCAGUGCACAUAUUGCCAACACCAGCACAAACGGGUCUGGCGGUGAAGGGCAGUCAUGGCAGGCCUCCUGGCAGCCCUAUGAGACCAGAGAUUGGCUGCGUGCAGUCUGUUCCAGAUUGUCUGGGCAGAGAGCCAUCGGCCAUAUAGUCCUGCAAACCUUGACUGCAAAUCUGUAGAAGACUGCAUAUGGUUCCUGAGUGCUGACAGGAUGAGGAAACGGUCUUCUUGGGACGCCCACUUCACGGCCUGUUUCUGACAUCCCCUGUUAUAUAGAACUUGGCCUUCAGUUUGCAGAUGGUACUAGGGCUCACUCCAAAUAAUGCUGCAACUUGGUUUUGCGAAACACCAGCUUGAAGUUGCCCUAUCGCACGGGCCCUAUCCAGAACAGUCAAAUGUGGCAUGCCGAUUGUUGGAGUAGACACCAACUGACCACUGUAGCAGUGCCCAUGCUCACAGGUGCUGACAAUCAGGUGCCAAUCACCUGGGGGUACCAGAAGCUCAAAACAAGAGUCAACAUCAAAAAAAGCUGUUUGGCAUUGGCAGAGAAGAUUUACCAAUUUUUUUCAUGGGCGCAGCCCACACACUCAGCUCUGCUGCUCAUCCCACAAAUGCAUGUUCCUUACAAAUGUGGCACAAUUUAAAAUGGAAAUAAACAGGCUUUCCAACGGUAUAAGAUUUUUUUUGCCAAGAAGCAUUGUUAGAACAAAGAAAUAAUCUACCAACAAUAGCGGAUCCUGCUAUGCAAUCUUUAUCUUAUUUACACAACUUUCCUUAUUUUUUGUGCUUAGUUUACAUUGUGAUAAUAUGCAGUUGCUACAAUUACUGGCUAAUGUGAGUUCUCGUAAUAGGGAUUAUUUAUAUAUUUAGGUAUAGCUGUUGCUGGCCCAAAGCGGGAAAUACAAACCAGAAUUUUAUGUGCUGUCUUAUUUCUUUACUGAGAGUAUUUAUUAGGCUCAAAAAACCAAAACAAAGCUAUCUGUCUCCCUGUUUUCAAUCUGUAUUUUUCAGUUUUCACCAGCAGCAUAAAAAAAUAUCCUUGUACAGAUCCUUCUGUUAAAGCAAUAAUAAAUUUUGC